rnacentral:rRNA from 1 species
AGAGUUUGAUCCUGGCUCAGAUUGAACGCUGGCGGCAUGCCUUACACAUGCAAGUCGAACGGCAGCAUGAUCUAGCUUGCUAGAUUGAUGGCGAGUGGCGAACGGGUGAGUAAUACAUCGGAACGUGCCCUGUAGUGGGGGAUAACUAGUCGAAAGAUUAGCUAAUACCGCAUACGACCUGAGGGUGAAAGUGGGGGACCGCAAGGCCUCAUGCUAUAGGAGCGGCCGAUGUCUGAUUAGCUAGUUGGUGGGGUAAAGGCCCACCAAGGCGACGAUCAGUAGCUGGUCUGAGAGGAUGACCAGCCACACUGGGACUGAGACACGGCCCAGACUCCUACGGGAGGCAGCAGUGGGGAAUUUUCCGCAAUGGGCGAAAGCCUGACGGAGCAAUACCGCGUGAGGGAGGAAGGCUCUUGGGUUGUAAACCUCUUUUCUCAGGGAAUAAGAAAGUGAAGGUACCUGAGGAAUCAGCAUCGGCUAACUCCGUGCCAGCAGCCGCGGUAAUA